AAAAAGACAAACCAUAGAUUUUCGUGCCAACGUUUAAAUGUCCGUCUUAUACGGAAUUUUUUUAUAAUUAGUAUUUUCAUUGUUGUUAGAUGAUAAAACAUGAUUAAUACUUUAUGCGUGACUUAUCUUUUAAUUUUUUUCAUAAUUUUUUUAAAUAAGACGGAUGGUCAAACGUUAGACACGGAAAUCAGGGUUUGUCUUUUU
rfam:Oryza sativa (indica cultivar-group) chromosome 7, whole genome shotgun sequence.